rnacentral:lncRNA from 1 species
UAGCAUGAAUAAAGUUACCUAUUUUUCCAUGAAAAGAGAGGUCAUUCAAUGGCCAUGAGAACAAUGGAGUUCAGAAAAUGGUAGCAAAACAUACAGAGUGACUUACACGACUGAAAUGAGAAGCAAUUGAUUAGGGAUCUUCUAACUGUACUCCAGCAUUAAACACCUGGAUAAAUUAAUACCUCAAGCAAACAUAAUGUGGCAGAUUCUUAGCAAUAUGUCCUGCAAACAAGCAUUAUUCAUAUCAUUGAGCUGAAGUAAAUGGUACUGUUUAGGAAGGCUGAUCCCAAAUCUAGCACCAAUGUCUGUCAACCAAAAACACUAACCACUCUACAAAACUUUGACGAUGGGCAACUAC